GACGAACGCUGGCGGCGUGCUUAACACAUGCAAGUCGAGCGGUAAGGCUCCUUUGGGAGUACACGAGCGGCGAACGGGUGAGUAACACGUGAGCAAUCUGCCCUUCUCAUCGGAAUAACCAUUGGAAACGAUGGCCAAUGCCGAAUACGACUUCCUUUCGCAUGUCAGGAAGUGGAAAGCUCCGGCGGAGAAGGAUGAGCUCGCGGCCUAUCAGCUUGUUGGUGAGGUAAUGGCUCACCAAGGCGACGACGGGUAGCCGGCCUGAGAGGGUGACCGGCGACACUGGGACUGAGACGCGGCCCAGACGCCGACGGGAGGCAGCAGUGGGGAAUAUUGGGCAAUGGGCGAAAGCCUGAUCCAGCAACGCCGCGUGAGGGAUGACGGCCUUCGGGUUGUAAACCUCUUUCAGCAGGGACGAAGCGAAAGUGACGGUACCUGCAGAAGAAGGACCGGCCAACUACGUGCCAGCCGCCGCCGUAA
rnacentral:rRNA from 1 species